rnacentral:rRNA from 1 species
CCAAUAGCGUAUAUUAAAGUUGUUGCAGUUAAAAAGCUCGUAGUUGAACUUCGGGGUCUACCCAUUGGUCAGGCUUAAUUGUCUGCACUGGUGAGAUGGAUCUCUACCUUCUGAGGAACUUUCAUGCCAUUUAUUUAGUGUGAUUGGAAAUCAGGACUGUUACUUUGCAAAAAUUAGAGUGUUUAAAGCAGACUAUCGUCUGAAUACAUUAGCAUGGAAUAAUGAAAUAGGACGGACUGAUUCUAUUUCGUUGGUUUCUAGGAUCACCGUAAUGAUUAAUAGGGAUAGUUGGGGGCAUUAGUAUUCAAUUGUCAGAGGUGAAAUUCUUGGAUUUAUUGAAGACUAACUACUGCGAAAGCAUUUGCCAAGGAUGUUUUCAUUAAUCAAGAACGAAAGUUAGGGGAUCGAAGACGAUCAGAUACCGUCGUAGUCUUAACCAUAAACUAUGCCGACUAGGGAUCGGACGAAGUUAAUUUUAUAAUGACGCGUUCGGCACCUUACG